rnacentral:rRNA from 1 species
CCUACGGGUGGCAGCAGUGGGGAAUAUUGGGCAAUGGGCGCAAGUCUGACCCAGCAACGCCGCGUGAAGGAAGAAGGCUUUCGGGUUGUAAACUUCUUUUCUCAGGGACGAAGCAAGUGACGGUACCUGAGGAAUAAGCCACGGCUAACUACGUGCCAGCAGCCGCGGUAAUACGUAGGUGGCAAGCGUUAUCCGGAUUUACUGGGUGUAAAGGGCGUGUAGGUGGGAAAGCAAGUCAGAGGUGAAAACCAUGGGCUCAACCUGUGGCCUGAAUUUGAAACGGUUUUUCUUGAGUACCGGAGAGGCAGACGGAAUUCCUAGUGUAGCGGUGAAAUGCGUAGAGAUUAGGAGGAACACCAGUGGCGAAGGCGGUCUGCUGGACAGCAACUGACGCUGAGGCGCGAAAGCGUGGGGAGCAAACAGGAUUAGAUACCCGAGUAGUC